rnacentral:rRNA from 1 species
ACCUCGGAUCAGGUAGGGAUACCCGCUGAACUUAAGCAUAUCAAUAAGCGGAGGAAAAGAAACCAACAGGGAUUACCUCAGUAACGGCGAGUGAAGCGGUAACAGCUCAAAUUUGAAAGCUAGCUCUUUUAGGGUUCGCAUUGUAAUUUGUAGAAGAUGCUUCGGGUGUGGCCCCGGUCUAAGUUCCUUGGAACAGGACGUCAUAGAGGGUGAGAAUCCCGUAUGUGACUGGGUGCUUUCGCUCAUGUGAAGCUCUUUCGACGAGUCGAGUUGUUUGGGAAUGCAGCUCAAAAUGGGUGGUAAAUUUCAUCUAAAGCUAAAUAUUGGCCAGAGACCGAUAGCGCACAAGUAGAGUGAUCGAAAGAUGAAAAGCACUUUGGAAAGAGAGUUAAACAGUACGUGAAAUUGUUGAAAGGGAAGCGCUUGCAACCAGACUUGCGCGCUGAUGAUCAUNCCGGGCUUCUGCCCGGUGCACUCGUCUGCGCUCAGGCCAGCAUCGGUUUCGGUGGUGGGAUAAAGGCCUUGGGAAUGUAGCUCCUCUCGGGGAGUGUUAUAGCCCUCGGUGCAAUGCCGCCUACCGGGACCGANGA